CUCACUCGAUCUAGCAGUAGGAGC
rnacentral:siRNA from 1 species